GACGUAGGGCGCGAGCGUUGUCCGGAUUUAUUGGGCGUAAAGAGCUCGUAGGCGGCUUGUUGCGUCGACUGUGAAAGCCCGUGGCUUAACCGCGUGGUCUGCAGUCGAUACGGGCAGGCUGGAGUUCGGUAGGGGAGACUGGAAUUCCUGGUGUAGCGGUGAAAUGCGCAGAUAUCAGGAGGAACACCGGUGGCGAAGGCGAGGUGCUGGACCCUUUCUGACGCUGAGGCGCGAAAGCCAGGGGAGCGAACGGG
rnacentral:rRNA from 1 species